ACUCCUACGGGAGGCAGCAGUGGGGAAUAUUGCACAAUGGGCGCAAGCCUGAUGCAGCCAUGCCGCGUGUGUGAAGAAGGCCUUCGGGUUGUAAAGCACUUUCAGUCGUGAGGAAGGCGGGUACGUAAUAGCGUAUUCGUUUGACGUUAGCGACAGAAGAAGCACCGGCUAACUCCGUGCCAGCAGCCGCGGUAAUACGGAGGGUGCGAGCGUUAAUCGGAAUUACUGGGCGUAAAGCGCAUGCUAGGUGGUUUGUUAAGUCAGAUGUGAAAGCCCGGGGCUCAACCUCGGAAUAGCAUUUGAAACUGGCAGACUAGAGUACUGUAGAGGGGGGUUAGAAUUUCAGGUGUAGCGGUGAAAUGCGUAGAGAUCUGAAGGAAUACCGGUGGCGAAGGCGGCCCCUGGACAGAUACUGACACUCAGAUGCGAAAGCGUGGGAGCAAACAGGAUUAGAUACCCCGUGGUAGGACAGUG
rnacentral:rRNA from 1 species